AUGAGCAAAGCCCUGAGCCCUCGAUACCAAGGACUCUCGACCUAUGAGAAGGAAUACUUGGCAGUUAUUGUGGCCGUAGACCAGUGGCGUCCCUACCUCCAACAUGCUGAAUUCACCAUACUUACUGAUCAGCGCAGCUUGACGCACCUGACGGAGCAGCGGCUUUCGACACCAUGGCAGCAACGGGCUUUCACUAAACUGCUGGGGCUCCGAUACAUCAUCAAGUACAAAAAGGGAUCCGAGAACACGGCAGCGGAUGCCUUGUCCAGAGCAAAAACAGCUGAAGUACUGCACACCAUCAGUGUGUGCCAACCAGCAUGGCUCGAAGAUAUUAUCAACAGCUACAACACCAACCCUCAGGUGCAAAAACUCCUGGAGCAGCUGGCUGUUCGAGAGGAUCCAAAAGGACGAUUCCAACUACAGAACGGACUGCUCCGCUUUCGUGGUCGCAUCUGGCUGGGGGGAACCACAGCUAUGCAACAGCGCAUCAUCGCGGCUUUCCACGACAUCCCAAUGGGUGGACACUCCAGCUUCCCAGUGACCUAUCGCCGCAUCCGCAGGUUGUUUGCCUGGCCCAAAAUGAAGGCGGAUGUGCAACAGUAUGUGCGGUGUUGCCAGGUUUGUUAG
rnacentral:rRNA from 1 species